GGGUAGAGCAAGCAUUGCAAGAUCACGGCAUCAAAUACACGCGCACGACCAUUGAUGAGAACGGCGUGCAGAUUGAGCAGGUCUUCUUCCAUGAUCCUGAUGGUUUCAUGAUCGAGAUCUGCACCUGUGAGAAGUUCCCAGUGCAGCCUCUGAUCCCUACCUCUGCGAGUAUAUGCAACCUCGCCCCUGCAUUAUCAGCUCGCUAGAGGUGGUGAACUUAAUACACCCUGCUUUCCGCCACCCACCAAGAGAUCAUUAGAUCAUUAAUCACCGCGUGACGUUAUGUCAUUGCCGAGAUUUUCAAUUUUAACCCGGCUGCUGUUCUUUCCUUA
rnacentral:lncRNA from 1 species